UAACAAGGUUUCGGUAGGUGAACCUGCGGAAGGAUCAUUA
rnacentral:rRNA from 3 species